UGGGAUGACGUCAAAUCAUCAUGCCCCUUAUGACCUGGGCUACACACGUGCUACAAUGGUUGGUACAACGAGUUGCGAGUCGGUGACGGCGAGCGUAAUCUACUUAAAGCCAAUCUCAGUUCGGAUUGUAGGCUGCAACUCGCCUACAUGAAGUCGGAAUCGCUAGUAAUCGCGGAUCAGCACGCCGCGGUGAAUACGUUCCCGGGCCUU
rnacentral:rRNA from 1 species